rnacentral:rRNA from 1 species
UACGUAGGGUGCGAGCGUUGUUCGGAAUCACUGGGCGUAAAGCGCACGUAGGCGGAUGUGUCAGUCAGGGGUGAAAUCCCGGGGCUCAACCUCGGAACUGCCUUUGAUACAGCACGUCUCGAGUCCGGAAGAGGUGGGUGGAAUUCCUAGUGUAGAGGUGAAAUUCGUAGAUAUUAGGAAGAACACCGGUGGCGAAGGCGGCCCACUGGUCCGGUACUGACGCUGAGGUGCGAAAGCGUGGGGAGCAAACAGG